AUUGAACGCUGGCGGCAGGCCUAACACAUGCAAGUCGAACGGUAACAGGAAGAAGCUUGCUUCUUUGCUGACGAGUGGCGGACGGGUGAGUAAUGUCUGGGAAACUGUCUGAUGGAGGGGGAUAACUACUGGAAACGGUAGCUAAUACCGCAUAACGUCGCAAGACCAAAAAGGGGGACCUUCGGGCCUCUUGCCAUCGGAUGUGCCCAGAUGGGAUUAGCUAGUAGGUGGGGUAACGGCUCACCUAGGCGACGAUCCCUAGCUGGUCUGAGAGGAUGACCAGCCACACUGGAACUGAGACACGGUCCAGACUCCUACGGGAGGCAGCAGUGGGGAAUAUUGCACAAUGGGCGCAAGCCUGAUGCAGCCAUGCCGCGUGUAUGAAGAAGGCCUUCGGGUUGUAAAGUACUUUCAGCGGGGAGGAAGGGAGUAAAGUUAAUACCUUUGCUCAUUGACGUUACCCGCAGAAGAAGCACCGGCUAACUCCGUG
rnacentral:rRNA from 1 species